rnacentral:pre_miRNA from 1 species
CUUGUACUCCCUCCAUCCGAAAAUACUUGUCAUUGAAAUGGAUGUAUCUAGAUGUAUUUUAGUUCUAGACACAUCCAUUUUGAUGACAAGUAAUUCCAGAUGGAGGGAGUACUUG